rnacentral:rRNA from 1 species
UACGUAGGGCGCAAGCGUUGUCCGGAAUUAUUGGGCGUAAAGAGCUCGUAGGCGGCUUGUCACGUCGGGUGUGAAAGCCCGGGGCUUAACCCCGGGUCUGCAUUCGAUACGGACUAGCUAGAGUGUGGUAGGGGAGAUCGGAAUUCCUGGUGUAGCGGUGAAAUGCGCAGAUAUCAGGAGGAACACCGGUGGCGAAGGCGGAUCUCUGGGCCAUUACUGACGCUGAGGAGCGAAAGCGUGGGGAGCAAACAGG